rnacentral:rRNA from 1 species
UACGUAGGGUGCAAGCGUUGUCCGGAAUUAUUGGGCGUAAAGAGCUCGUAGGCGGUCUGUCGCGUCUGCUGUGAAAACUCAGGGCUUAACCCUGAGCUUGCAGUGGGUACGGGCAGACUAGAGUGCGGUAGGGGAGACUGGAAUUCCUGGUGUAGCGGUGAAAUGCGCAGAUAUCAGGAGGAACACCGGUGGCGAAGGCGGGUCUCUGGGCCGUAACUGACGCUGAGGAGCGAAAGCAUGGGGAGCGAAUAGG